rnacentral:rRNA from 1 species
UACGUAGGGUGCGAGCGUUUAAUCGGAAUUACUGGGCGUAAAGCGUGCGCAGGCGGCUUGCCAAGUCAGAUGUGAAAGCCCCGGGCUCAACCCGGGAACUGCGUUUGAAACUGGCAGGCUAGAGUUUGGCAGAGGGGGGGUGGAAUUCCACGUGUAGCAGUGAAAUGCGUAGAGAUGUGGAGGAACACCGAUGGCGAAGGCAGCCCCCUGGGCCAAAACUGACGCUCAGGCACGAAAGCGUGGGGGAGCGAACAGG